GAGAGAUGUCCUGAACCACUAGACGAUGGGGGC
rnacentral:tRNA from 1 species